UACGUAGGAUGCAAGCGUUAUCCGGAUUUAUUGGGUUUAAAGGGUGCGUAGGCGGCUUGAUAAGUUAGAGGUGAAAGCGUGCGGCUUAACCAUGGGACCGCCUUUGAUACUGAUAGACUUGAGUGCGACAGAGGGUGUUGGAAUGUGUGGUGUAGCGGUGAAAUGCUUAGAUAUGCCGCAGAACACCAAUUGCGAAGGCAGAUGCCUAUGUCGUAACUGACGCUGAGGCACGAAAGCGUGGGGAGCAAACAGG
rnacentral:rRNA from 1 species